rnacentral:rRNA from 1 species
GACGAACGCUGGCGGCGUGCCUAAUACAUGCAAGUCGAACGCUUUUUCUUUCACCGGAGCUUGCUCCACCGAAAGAAAAAGAGUGGCGAACGGGUGAGUAACACGUGGGUAACCUGCCCAUCAGAAGGGGAUAACACUUGGAAACAGGUGCUAAUACCGUAUAACACUAUUUUCCGUAUGGAAGAAAGUUGAAAGGCGCUUUUGCGUCACUGAUGGAUGGACCCGCGUUGCAUUAGCUAGUUGGUGAGGUAACGGCUCACCAAGGCAACGAUGCAUAGCCGACCUGAGAGAGUGAUCGGCCACACUGGGACUGAGACACGGCCCAGACUCCUACGGGAGGCAGCAGUAGGGAAUCUUCGGCAAUGGACGAAAGUCUGACCGAGCAACGCCGCGUGAGUGAAGAAGGUUUUCGGAUCGUAAAACUCUGUUGUUAGAGAAGAACAAGGAUGAGAGUAAAAUGUUCAUCCCUUGACGGUAUCUAACCAGAAAGCCACGGCUAACUACGUGCCAGCCGCCGCAGUAA